AGUGAACGCUGGCGGUAUGCCUAAUACAUGCAAGUCGAACGGCAGCACAGUAAGAGCUCGCCCUUACGGUUGGCGAGUGGCGGACGGGUGAGGAAUACAUCGGAAUCUACUUUUUCUUGGGGGACAACGUAGGGAAACUUACGCUAAUACCUCAUACUACCUACGGGUUAAAUCAAGAGUUCUUCGCACUUUGGGCGUCUCUUUGAGCUGAUGUCGGAUUAGCUAGUUGGCGAGGUAAAGGCCCACCAAGGCAACGAUCCGUAGCUGACCUGAGAGGAUGAUCAGCCACACUGGAACUGAGACACGGUCCAGACUCCUACGGGAGGCAGCAGUAGGGAAUCUUCCACAAUGGGCGAAAGCCUGAUCGAGCAAUGCCGCGUGAGUGAUGAAGGCCUUCGGAUUGUAAAACCCUUUUAUUGGGGAAGAAAAGAAGUAUGUGAAUGCGUGCAUGUUCUGACGGUACCCAAAGAGAAAGCACCGGCUAACUUCGUG
rnacentral:rRNA from 1 species